AUGUAGCUCAGUUGGUAGAGUGCUUGCCUAGCAUGCAUGAGGUCCUGGGUUCAAUUCCCAGCAU
rnacentral:tRNA from 1 species